rnacentral:rRNA from 1 species
UUAAUUGAAGAGUUUGAUCAUGGCUCAGAUUGAACGCUGGCGGCAGGCCUAACACAUGCAAGUCGAACGGUAACAGGGAGCAGCUUGCUGCUCUGCUGACGAGUGGCGGACGGGUGAGUAAUGUCUGGGAAACUGCCUGAUGGAGGGGGAUAACUACUGGAAACGGUAGCUAAUACCGCAUAACGUCUUCGGACCAAA